rnacentral:rRNA from 1 species
UACGAGGGGGGCAAGCGUUGUUCGGAAUUAUUGGGCGUAAAGCGCACGUAGGCGGAUUUGUAAGUCAGGGGUGAAAUCCCGGGGCUCAACCUCGGAACUGCCUUUGAUACUGCAAAUCUCGAGUCCGGAAGAGGUGAGUGGAAUUCCUAGUGUAGAGGUGAAAUUCGUAGAUAUUAGGAAGAACACCAGUGGCGAAGGCGGCUCACUGGUCCGGUACUGACGCUGAGGUGCGAAAGCGUGGGGAGCAAACAGG